rnacentral:tRNA from 2 species
GCACCUGUGGUGGAAUGGCAGACACGGUGGAUUUAGGUUCCACUGCGAAAGCGUGGGGGUUCGAGUCCCUCCAGGUGCA